rnacentral:lncRNA from 10 species
UCCCAACACUUGCGGAGGCCAAGGUGGGAGGAUCGCUUGAGGCCAGGAGUUUGAGAACAGACUGGGCAGCAGAGUGAGGCCCUUGUCUCUAUUAAAAAAAAAUAAAUAAAUAAAAGUGCAAGACUGGUGGAGCCGAAUGGCGAAAAAUCCUCCAGGAGAUGGGAGAGAAAAGGAUCAGGAACAAAGGCCCUCUCCCAAGAGAGAGAAAAAGAGAAGGAAAAAAAUUCAGAAGUUGGGGCGGUGAGGAGCAGCCGUCGGUGGCCUGGUGGCAGUUUAUAGGCCCAGGGCCAUAUGUCCCAGAGUGACAUGCAGGGUUGCAAUUCUGCAAUGACAAAGAACAGCUGCGGUGACCACAGCGUGAACCACG